AUUGAACGCUGGCGGCAGGCCUAACACAUGCAAGUCGAACGGUAAUAGGAAGAAGCUUGCUUCUUUGCUGACGAGUGGCGGACGGGUGAGUAAUGUCUGGGAAACUGCCUGAUGGAGGGGGAUAACUACUGGAAACGGUAGCUAAUACCGCAUAACGUCGCAAGACCAAAAAGGGGGACCUUCGGGCCUCUUGCCAUCGGAUGUGCCCAGAUGGGAUUAGCUAGUAGGUGGGGUAACGGCUCACCUAGGCGACGAUCCCUAGCUGGUCUGAGAGGAUGACCAGCCACACUGGAACUGAGACACGGUCCAGACUCCUACGGGAGGCAGCAGUGGGGAAUAUUGCACAAUGGGCGCAAGCCUGAUGCAGCCAUGCCGCGUGUAUGAAGAAGGCCUUCGGGUUGUAAAGUACUUUCAGCGGGGAGGAAGGGAGUAAAGUUAAUACCUUUGCUCAUUGACGUUACCCGCAGAAGAAGCACCGGCUAACUCCGUG
rnacentral:rRNA from 1 species